rnacentral:rRNA from 1 species
AAAACGACUCUCGGCAACGGAUAUCUCGGCUCUCGCAUCGAUGAAGAACGUAGCNAAAUGCGAUACUUGGUGUGAAUUGCAKAAUCCCGUGAACCAUCGAGUCUUUGAACGCAAGUUGCGCCCCAAGCCGUUAGGCCGAGGGCACGCCUGCCUGGGUGUCACGC